ensembl:rRNA 5S_rRNA 5S ribosomal RNA
GCCAGCAGCUGUCACUCUGCAGCUCUCGCCUGGUUGGCCAUUGAUGCUAAGCAGGGUUGAGCCUGGUCAGUACCUGGAUGGGAGUUCUCCUGGGAAAAUAGGUUGCUGCUGGAA